GACGAACGCUGGCGGCGUGCCUAAUACAUGCAAGUCGAGCGGAACUUGAAAGCUUGCUUUCUAAGUUUAGCGGCGGACGGGUGAGUAACACGUGGGCAACCUGCCUAUAAGACUGGGAUAACUUCGGGAAACCGGAGCUAAUACCGGAUAAUAUAAAAGAUCACAUGGUCUUUUAUUGAAAGAUGGCUUCGGCUAUCACUUAUAGAUGGGCCCGCGGCGCAUUAGCUAGUUGGUGAGGUAAUGGCUCACCAAGGCGACGAUGCGUAGCCGACCUGAGAGGGUGAUCGGCCACACUGGGACUGAGACACGGCCCAGACUCCUACGGGAGGCAGCAGUAGGGAAUCUUCCGCAAUGGACGAAAGUCUGACGGAGCAACGCCGCGUGAGCGAUGAAGGCCUUCGGGUCGUAAAGCUCUGUUGUUAGGGAAGAACAAGUAUCGUUCGAAUAGGGCGGUACCUUGACGGUACCUAACCAGAAAGCCACGGCUAACUACGUG
rnacentral:rRNA from 1 species